ensembl:snoRNA small nucleolar RNA SNORD103/SNORD85
UUUGGCUGUGAUGACAAACUUGCCCUCACUGAAAAUAGUUCUGAUUGAGACCUUUCUUUCUGAGCCAAA